CAGUUCUGAAAGCAGUGGUACAGCUUUGUGUUGAUUAUAGCUGCACCCUAGGGAAUGACUAAACUAGGUAAUCAUUAUGCAAAAAAACUAUCAGCGUCUGCAUCAACAAUAUUUAGUGAAAUAACAUAGCAUAUGGGCCAAUGCUUCAGAAAUUAACAACAUACCAAAUUCAUGCACAGAUAACAAUUCAACUAUGCGAUCCAAUAGAUGUGAACCAAAUGUGUAAUUUUAAUCAUAAUGUAAACUCUAAUAGGGGAUUUAGGGAUAUAUUUAAUGUACCCUCAUACUUCUCCAAAGUUCUAAACACUGAAAUAGGGACUCAUUUCACAAAUACAUCCCCAUGAGAAUUUACUAGGUGCACUAAUUAUGACUAGGUCCAGAGUUAAAUUCCAAAAGAUUGAUCGCAUUCCACAAUCGAUAUGCGAACGAGAGUAUGAUUCUCAAAGCUUGUUCAUUUUGACAUCCAGUGUUAUUAAUUUCAAGAUCAGAGCCAUUUUAUAAUGCUCCAAACUGCAAUGCUAUAGCACACCACAAAUAAUCAUUUGGGAUUUUUUUUCGGAUGGGGGUUUUCAAAUUUUGAUGUCACCAGCAAAAAAUAUGUGAGGAGAAAAUAAUGGUUAGAUCCCCAUCACAAUCAAUAAAAAGAUAACAGCAACACAAUUUUUUUUGAAAUCGUAUGCGUAAAAGAUAUCAAUUGAAUAAGUUACUUUAUGAAAUAAAAACGACAACAAAAAUUAUUUACACCAGAGUAGAAAAUUGAAAUCAGGAAGCAUCUGCUAAACCCAGCUCUAAAAAUAAGGUUUCCAAGACUAUAACCAAAAGGAAUCUCUAAUCAUUUUAUUAUAAACACAAGAUCUUCAAUAACUAACACUCCCAGAAAAGCACAAUAAACAAGUAAUGAGAAAAGUGGAGUAUUGAAAAUUAUAACCUCGUAUAGAAUGGAGCUACUGUGGUAGUUCAUUUGAGCCAAAAAUACAUAUAAAUAAAGACCAAUAAGAAUAAAAGCUAACAUAUUUGACCAAAAUUUCUCCGCAACCAAACAUUCUACAACAGAGAACAAGCAAACAAACAAAUUCUCCCAAUAGCAAGAAAAACACAACUCUAGCCAGGAAAACAACACUACUUUUUCACACAGAGAAAGAAGUGAAAAGGCUUACAUUUUUCAUCAAG
rnacentral:misc_RNA from 1 species